rnacentral:snRNA from 1 species
UGGGCUUCUCAGCCUUUUGGCUAAGAAUAAGUGUGGUAUCUGUUCUUAUUGGUUUAAUGACUAGAUCUUGAAAAAAAAAAGUAUUUGAGACACAUGCAAAGAACACUCUUAUUGUUUCUCUCCCUAGUUAGCUACUUUAGCUUUCACUGGGCCGGACUGAAGCCGGGAGCUGGGAACCAAAU